rnacentral:snRNA from 2 species
AGCUUUGUGCAGUGGCAGUAUCAUAGCCAAUGAGGUUUAUCCAAGGUGCGAUUAUUGCUAAUUAAAAGGCAUACAACACUGUAUAUAGUAUAAUUAUUUAAUUAUUGUAAUAAAUACAUAAUU